ACGCUCGACACCUACGGGAGGCAGCAGUGGGGAAUAUUGCACAAUGGGGGAAACCCUGAUGCAGCGACGCCGCGUGAGCGAAGAAGUAUCUCGGUAUGUAAAGCUCUAUCAGCAGGGAAGAAAAUGACGGUACCUGACUAAGAAGCCCCGGCUAACUACGUGCCACAGCCGCGGUAAUCUGAGCGGGCUGGCAAGGC
rnacentral:rRNA from 1 species